rnacentral:misc_RNA from 1 species
UUUCCGUAGGUGAACCUGCGGAAGGAUCAUUAAUGAGAACUAAGGGUAGUAGUCUCGGCUACUACUCUGAACACUCCACCCUUUGUUUAUAUUACCUUUGUUGCUUUAGCAGGCCCGCUCUCGGGCCGCCGGCACCUGCUGGCCAGUGCCUGCUAGAGGACCUAAAACUCUUGUUAAUAAUAUUGUCUGAGUACUAUAUAAUAGUUAAAACUUUCAACAACGGAUCUCUUGGUUCUG